rnacentral:lncRNA from 1 species
GAGUCAAAGGGCCAUCUGGGCAUAUAACUGGGAUAGCAGAAGAUUACAUAUUUUAGUUAAGAAGCUAGCAAAAAUCAUGUACCUUAGUUAAAGAGUAACGAAUAUAUUAGGAAAAGUAAAGCUAGGAGUGAGAGGGAUAGAUGUAGCAAUUGUGAAGGAGCACAGACCAUAGAAAUACCUUGCCUUAAAAAUAAUCAAACAGUUAGGAGAGACUUGGACCUUGACCAGCAGGUCAAAAAGUCCUGCCAGCUGGCCAUGGGUGAAGAGUUUAUCAUGAGGAAGACAGCUUUCUUCCUCCCAUAUGCCCAGUCCCUUAUUUCAAAAUCCCACCAACCCAAUUGCACAGCCCUAAUGGAUAAUAAUGAUAAUAAUGGUAAUGAUUAUGUAGCAUGCAUCCUUAGAAACUGCUUGGAUAUGUAAAACCUUUUCUGUAUAAAUAGAGAGCAGGAGUCUGCAACUCCUUGCAGUUGCCUUUGGAAAUAAUUCUGCUCAUGCCUGGCGCUGUAAUAAAUACCCUUUUCAACUUUAAUUAGUUGGAGAGUCGUUCUGUCCAUGUUCUGUCUGGGCUCUAUAAUGAACCUGCUGCAGUAGAGACAUUAAGACCCAUUUCAAAGACCUUAACACUCAUACCUUGACCCAUCACAUUGUUUGAAAAGACAUCAGCACACAUCUUUCCAUCACUGGCAAUGGCAGUCCUCAGGUUCAGUUUUGUUUGCAGUUACUUCUAUUAGAUAUUCAUUCUGAAGGAAUUUGAAAAAACAUAUUUGUUAUAAAUACAUAUUAAAUUGUUGGCUUUUCAUAAAUAUUAGGAUGAAUGGUAUAUGUAUAAUAUUAAAAUAACUUUGCUUUUAUUUCUGCUAUUAACAAAAACUUAGAUAUAGUAGUAUUGGUAGCUGAUAGAGUUAUGAGUGAACUGUCUGUUUGGUCAGGAUAACAUCCAGUGAACAUGUAAUAUGGACCCUGCUAUUGAUAUGCCAACUAUCAGCAUCUGCCAUCUGAAGAAAGUACAGACCAGGGCCCAAACUGGGAGUGAUAAAGAGAAGGAGCCAAAACCAAAACCACAGCAAAGAAACACGCAUGCUCUAAAAAGGCAGACCCAAGGAGGGGCAAGAAUCGGACGAAAACAUUGGAAAAUUUGGUAUCUUGCAACCCUGAGUUCCUGGAAUAAGCGAAGGGCAAAAAGGAGGAGGGAGGCAG